CCCUUUGUGCACCACCGCGUGGGCCCCCUUCGGGGGGCUCGCGUUUUCNCACAAAACCCCCCUUUUAAAAGUGUAGAAUGACCUCUUUUUAUGAAAUCAAUACAACUUUCAACAACGGAUCUCUUGGCUCUCGCAUCGAUGAAGAACGCAGCGAAAUGCGAUACGUAAUGUGAAUUGCAGAAUUCAGUGAAUCAUCGAAUCUUUGAACGCACCUUGCGCCCCUUGCUAUUCCGAUGGGCACACCCGUUUGAGUGUCGUGAAAACCUCAACCUCCCUGGUUUCUUCUGGAGACCAAAGGAGGCUUGGACUUUGGAGGCCUUUGCUGGCGUCUCUGCCAGCUCCUCUCAAAUGAAUUAGUGGGGUCCUCUUUGCUGAUCCUUGACAUGUGAUAAGAUGCUUCCGUGUCUCGGUUUCUGGCUCUGUUGCUUUUGGGACCCGCUUCUAACCGUCUAGACCUCGCGUCGAGACAAUGUUCGAGCACACGUCUCCCUUGUCGGGAA
rnacentral:misc_RNA from 1 species